rnacentral:rRNA from 1 species
UUAAGUGACUAAGCGUACACGGUGGAUGCCUUGGCAGUCAGAGGCGAUGAAAGACGUAGUAACUUGCGAUAAGCCCAGAUUAGGUAGUAACAACCAUUUGAGUCUGGGAUUUCUGAAUGGGGAAACCCACGUGCAUAAGCACGUAUCCUUACCUGAAUACAUAGGGUAAGGAGGCGAACCGGGGGAACUGAAACAUCUAAGUACCCCGAGGAAAAGAAAUCAACCGAGAUUCCGAAAGUAGCGGCGAGCGAAAUUGGACUAGCCCUUAAGCUUUACACGCGUUAGACGAACGGUCUGGAAAGUCCGACGAUACAGGGUGAUAGUCCCGUAGUUGACGACGUGUGUUCAGUGAAAUCGAGUAGGGCGGGACACGUGAUAUCCUGUCUGAAUAUGGGGGGACCAUCCUCCAAGGCUAAAUACUACUGACUGACCGAUAGUGAACCAGUACCGUGAGGGAAAGGCGAAAAGAACCCCUGUGAGGGGAGUGAAAUAGAACCUGAAACCGUGUACGUACAAGCAGUAGGAGCACCUUCGUGGUGUGACUGCGUACCUUUUGUAUAAUGGGUCAGCGACUUAUAUUCAGUGGCAAGGUUAACCAUCUAGGGGAGCCGUAGGGAAACCGAGUCUUAACUGGGCGUUCAGUCUCUGGAUAUAGACCCGAAACCAGGUGAUCUAGCCAUGGGCAGGUUGAAGGUUGAGUAACAUCAACUGGAGGACCGAACCGACUAAUGUUGAAAAAUUAGCGGAUGACUUGUGGCUAGGGGUGAAAGGCCAAUCAAACCUGGAGAUAGCUGGUUCUCCCCGAAAGCUAUUUAGGUAGCGCCUCGGACGAAUACUACUGGGGGUAGAGCACUGUUAAGGCUAGGGGGUCAUCCCGACUUACCAACCCUUUGCAAACUCCGAAUACCAGUAAGUACUAUCCGGGAGACACACGGCGGGUGCUAACGUCCGUCGUGGAGAGGGAAACAACCCAGACCGCCAGCUAAGGUCCCAAAUUACUACUAAGUGGGAAACGAUGUGGGAAGGCUCAGACAGCCAGGAUGUUGGCUUAGAAGCAGCCAUCAUUUAAAGAAAGCGUAAUAGCUCACUGGUCGAGUCGGCCUGCGCGGAAGAUGUAACGGGGCUAAGUAGUAAACCGAAGCUGCGGCAAUAUACUUUUGUAUAUUGGGUAGGGGAGCGUUCUGUAAGCGGUUGAAGGUGUGUGGUAACGCAUGCUGGACGUAUCAGAAGUGCGAAUGCUGACAUGAGUAACGAUAAAGGGGGUGAAAAACCUCCUCGCCGGAAGACCAAGGGUUCCUGUCCAACGUUAAUCGGGGCAGGGUAAGUCGACCCCUAAGGCGAGGCCGAAAGGCGUAGUCGAUGGGAAACGGGUUAAUAUUCCCGUACUUCUUACAAUUGCGAUGGGGGGACGGAGAAGGCUAGGUGGGCCUGGCGACGGUUGUCCAGGUUCAAGUGCGUAGGCUUGAGAGUUAGGUAAAUCCGGCUCUUUCUAAGGCUGAGACACGACGUCGAGCACCUACGGGUGUGAAGUCAUUGAUGCCAUGCUUCCAGGAAAAGCCUCUAAGCUUCAGAUUGUAAGGAAUCGUACCCCAAACCGACACAGGUGGUCGGGUAGAGAAUACCAAGGCGCUUGAGAGAACUCGGGUGAAGGAACUAGGCAAAAUGGUACCGUAACUUCGGGAGAAGGUACGCUCUCGACGGUGAAGUCCCUCGCGGAUGGAGCUAUUGAGAGUCGCAGAUACCAGGUGGCUGCAACUGUUUAUUAAAAACACAGCACUGUGCAAAAUCGUAAGAUGACGUAUACGGUGUGACGCCUGCCCGGUGCCGGAAGGUUAAUUGAUGGGGUUAGACUUCGGUCGAAGCUCUUGAUCGAAGCCCCGGUAAACGGCGGCCGUAACUAUAACGGUCCUAAGGUAGCGAAAUUCCUUGUCGGGUAAGUUCCGACCUGCACGAAUGGCGUAAUGAUGGCCACGCUGUCUCCACCCGAGACUCAGUGAAAUUGAAAUCGCUGUGAAGAUGCAGUGUACCCGCGGCUAGACGGAAAGACCCCGUGAACCUUUACUACAGCUUGGCACUGAACAUUGACCCUACAUGUGUAGGAUAGGUGGGAGGCUUUGAAGCACGUACGCCAGUAUGUGUGGAGCCGUCCUUGAAAUACCACCCUUGUAGUGUUGAUGUUCUAACGUCGACCCCU